CCUACGGGUGGCAGCAGUGGGGAAUAUUGGACAAUGGGCGAAAGCCUGAUCCAGCAAUGCCGCGUGAGUGAUGAAGGCCUUAGGGUUGUAAAGCUCUUUUAGCAGGGAUGAUAAUGACAGUAUCUGGAGAAUAAGCCCCGGCUAACUCCGUGCCAGCAGCCGCGGUAUUACGGAGGGCGCUAGCGUUGUUCGGAAUUACUGGGCGUAAAGCGCACGUAGGCGGUUUUUCAAGUCAGGGGUGAAAGCCCGGGGCUCAACUCCGGAAUUGCCCUUGAAACUGGAUGACUAGAAUCUUGGAGAGGUCAGUGGAAUUCCGAGUGUAGAGGUGAAAUGCGUAGAUAUUCGGAAGAACACCAGUGGCGAAGGCGACUGACUGGACAAGUAUUGACGCUGAGGUGCGAAAGCGUGGGGAGCAAACAGGAUUAGAUACCCGUGUAGUC
rnacentral:rRNA from 1 species